UCAAAAGAGCAGAAGGAACCCGCCUCGAACCCGGCAGGGAGCGUCAGUGGACGCAUACCCCAUCCCGAACAGACAAAAUAAAUUAAGGACGGGGUUUCACAAUGGGAGCCAAGAGCUGUAAGGGAGAGCCUUGUCUGCCCGACCUGCUGACAGGACCGGUAAAGCACCCGCCCUGGUUGUCCAACACCAGCCCGCUCAGCCGCUUCCCCCGCCGCAGCUCUACCCCUAAUAAGACCUGAUACGACUGCAGGACCAACAGACCCCCCAGAGGCAGCCCCAGCACAGUAGGAACACAUUCUACACACGCCUACAUUGACUCCCAUUUCACUGGAGUGAGGACAGACUUUAUCAGACCCAGCUGGCUGGACUGUGUGAUUGCAUAAAAUAACAUUACCCGCCCAUAACUGAUUGGACAGCCAUCCAUAGUCGCACGCAGGAAGCUAAAGGGUCACUGGAAGACUACAGGCAUAGAUUGGAUAACUUUUUCCGCAAACACAGUGGCAUCAGACCAGCAACAGACGGUCAUCGAACACUGUAAACACGCUGAGAGGCAGCAACUGUCUCAAGAAGAUAAGAUGAAACAGAAUGAAAAAGGGAGGGCGGGAAACUACAAGCUGCACAGCUGGCCUUCUAUCAAGGACACAGCAGCAGGCUCAGGGAGGACCUCAAAAUGAUGGACAGCGAGGAAGAGGUAGAGGGAGACAAGGAAGGGGAGACAGUGCUGAAGAACGGGCUGGAUAACAGACACCACAAGGUAAUAGCUUGACCUGCUAUAUCUGUGGACUGGAGGGACAUUUCACCAGAACAUGUCGAAGCAAA